GGGCUCUUAGCUCAGUUGGUAGAGCAGCGGACUCUUAAUCCGUUGGUCGUAGGUUCAAAUCCUACAGGGCCCACCA
rnacentral:tRNA from 1 species